CCUAGAGUUGUAGGCUUUGCCUGCUAUCUCUUACCCAUGUCCUUUUGAGUACCUUCGUUUCCGCUCGGCGGGUCCGCCCGCCGAUUGGACAAUUUAAACACAUUUGCAGUUGCAAUCAGCAGUCUGAAAAACUUAAUAGUUAC
rnacentral:misc_RNA from 1 species